GUCGGGAGUCUUGCACAAUGGGGGAAACCCUGAUGCAGCGACGUCGCGUGUGGGAUGAAGUAUUUCGGUAUGUAAACCACUUUUGCGGGGGGCGAAAAAAAUGACGGUACCCCGCGAAUAAGCCCCGGCUAACUACGUGCCAGCAGCCGCGGUAAUACGUAGGGGGCGAGCGUUGCUCGGAUUGACUGGGCGUAAAGCGCGCGUAGGCGGUCCAUUAAGUGUGCGGUGAAAUUCGGAGGCUCAACCUCCGUCCCGCCGCGCAAACUGAUGGUCUUGAGAUUGGGAGGGGGAUGCGGAAUUCCUGGUGUAGCGGUGAAAUGCAUUGAUAUCAGGAGGAACACCGGCGGCGAAAGCGGCAUCCUGGCUUAUAUCUGACGCUGAGGCGCGAAAGCGUGGGUAGCAAACGGGAUUAGAUACCCCAGUAGUCC
rnacentral:rRNA from 1 species